AGUGAACGCUGGCGGUAGGCCUAACACAUGCAAGUCGAACGGCAGCACAGUAAGAGCUUGCUCUUACGGGUGGCGAGUGGCGGACGGGUGAGGAAUACAUCGGAAUCUACUUUUUCGUGGGGGAUAACGUAGGGAAACUUACACUAAUACCGCAUACGACCUACGGGUGAAAGCAGGGGAUCUUCGGACCUUGCGCGAUUGAAUGAGCCGAUGUCGGAUUAGCUAGUUGGCGGGGUAAAGGCCCACCAAGGCGACGAUCCGUAGCUGGUCUGAGAGGAUGAUCAGCCACACUGGAACUGAGACACGGUCCAGACUCCUACGGGAGGCAGCAGUGGGGAAUAUUGAACAAUGGGCGCAAGCCUGAUCCAGCCAUACCGCGUGGGUGAAGAAGGCCUUCGGGUUGUAAAGCCCUUUUGUUGGGAAAGAAAAGCAGCAGGUUAAUACCCCGCUGUUCUGACGGUACCCAAAGAAUAAGCACCGGCUAACUUCGUG
rnacentral:rRNA from 1 species